UACGGGAGGUGCGAGCGUUGUCCGGAAUCACUGGGCGUAAAGGGCGCGUAGGUGGUUUGAUAAGGGUGUGGUGAAAGCCCGGGGCUCAACCCCGGGUCUGCCGUGCCGACUGUCAAACUCGAGGGCUGUAGAGGCAGACGGAAUUCCGGGUGUAGCGGUGGAAUGCGUAGAGAUCCGGAGGAAGACCGGUGGCGAAGGCGGUCUGCUGGGCAGUAACUGACGCUGAGGAGCGAAAGCGUGGGGAGCGAACAGG
rnacentral:rRNA from 1 species